UUUUCUGCUUUGGAUGGAAAUGAUCAAUUAAGGAAACGUCAACUCUUUUAGGACAUGGGAACACAUUAUUCUAGGGAUUGACUAUUCUUCAUUAUUCAGAAAUUGAUACAUUGAGAUAUUGUGUAGGAGAGAAAAACAAAGUUUUUCUUCCAUUAACAUUCUGCUUUGUAACAAUGAUGAUGAGGAGCUAAACUCCAUUUUGUCAAGAUUGGAGGUAGUAGCUAUUCUCAUAUGUUUAUGUAUUCCAUCUGAUUUAUAUAUAUGAUAAAGAUUGUUGAUGUAUUGAA
rnacentral:lncRNA from 1 species